UUUACAGAUGAUGUGAAAGUCUAACAAAGAUACAUUAUUUUACAAAUAUUGUCUGAUUUCUUAUAUCCUGUCUUGAUUAAACAAGACCAAGGUUAAUCUGGAUGUUCUCAACAUUACCGAGAAUAACAUUCGUCUGCCUCCUCGUGGCCAAAAGAAUUAAUAUACAUUUCUGUGCGAGCUGGUCUCACUGAUUCUACAACGAUGUCUAGUCAUUACCCC